rnacentral:rRNA from 1 species
CGGAGUAACACGUAAUCAAGCUGCCUGCGAGACGGGGAUAACUUCGGAACCGAAGCUAAGACCCGAUGGCCUUGGGAGAUCGCAUGUUUUCCCAAGUAAAUGGGCGGGACCUUUCGGGGUCGCCUGCUCGCAGAGGUGAUUGCGGCCCAUCAGCUAGUUGUAGGGUAAUGGCCUACCAAGGCAACGACGGGUAGCCGGCCUUAGAGGGUGGUCGGCCGCACUGGGACUGAGACACUGCCCAGACUCCUACGGGAGGCUGCAGUCGAGAAUCUUCCGCAAUGGGCGAAAGCCUGACGGAGCGACGCCGCGUGGAGGAUGAAGGCCUUCGGGUUGUAAAACUCCUGUCACGAGUUAAGAAAGAGCUGCCACGAACAGUGGUAGAUCCUGACGUAAGCUCGAGAGGAAGCACUGGCUAACUCUGUGCCAGCAGCCGCGGUAAUACAGAGAGUGCAAACGUUGUUCGGAAUCACUGGGCUUAAAGAGCACGUAGGCGGCGCUACAAGUGUCGGGUGAAAUCCCACGGCU